rfam:Gossypium hirsutum cultivar TM-1 chromosome 12, whole genome shotgun sequence
GUCGCUUUGGCCGAGUGGUUAAGGCGUGUGCCUGCUAAGUACAUGGGAUUUUUCCCGCGAGAGUUCGAAUCUCUCAGGCGACG